GUCUUGACNUCCUUUGACCNCUCUAGAGAUAGAGCUUUCCCUUCGGGGACAAAGUGACAGGUGGUGCAUGGUUGUCGUCAGCUCGUGUCGUGAGAUGUUGGGUUAAGUCCCGCAACGAGCGCAACCCUUAUUGUUAGUUGCCAUCAUUUAGUUGGGCACUCUAGCAAGACUGCCGGUGACAAACCGGAGGAAGGUGGGGAUGACGUCAAAUCAUCAUGCCCCUUAUGACCUGGGCUACACACGUGCUACAAUGGACGGUACAAUGAGUUGCGAGACCGCGAGGUUUAGCUAAUCUCUUAAAGCCGUUCUCAGUUCGGAUUGUAGGCUGCAACUCGCCUACAUGAAGCCGGAAUCGCUAGUAAUCGUGGAUCAGCAUGCCACGGUGAAUACGUUCCCGGGA
rnacentral:rRNA from 1 species